AUGUUUAGCUAUUCCACCUGGAAGCAGGCAGGGCACACCUUGACUGUUCUGUAGAAGCAAUGCACACAUUGCUCUAUCCAAGGACAAGGGCUAGAUAUGAACCAUGAAAACUUGAUUGUUAGGACAGCAACUGCGGGAGGCUUUCUUAGCCUGGGCUCAAGGCCUGAGAACCAGGAUUGUAGUAUAUAAAAGAUGCAACUAAGUAUAUUAAUCAACGUCAUACAUUCCUUUGUGUAUCUUUUUGCGGUAGCAGUGUGUAAUGCUUAGGGGGGAGAAAUAUAAUAAAAGGAGAAGGUGGAAGGCGGGGGGGCAGAACGCCCAUCUCAGCUGACCAGCCUGCUUGCUUGCAUAAAGCUGUGUUCUGUCUCAUCAUUGAACUGCCACAACUGGCGCCCAAACGUGGGGCCCUCAGCACUCACCUCGCCCGGCAAGGGUUUCAGACGCGUCACUCAUCCGCUUCGUGGAUCCCGGGCUGGUGGACACUGGAGCUGACGUUACGGUGAUUCGUGAUCUGGAGUGGCCGGACCGUUGUGGGUUCCAGCUCGGUGUGUGCGACCGGCACUUAAACAACAUGGCAUGGCACCAGGGGCUGUCGAAUCCCAUACCAGAGUUUCAGCUGACCUUGGAGGAGACCGCGUUGCCCCCCGAGUCGACAACGACAGGACGGAAACGGAGGAGGCGUAGUGUCCCAAACCGGCCCGUGACAUGGGGAGCAGUAAAAGCAUUGGUCGCCGCGGCCCAACGAAGGCUGGCAGCAGAUCAACAGCCAGAGACUCCUGAGACUUUGUUUGUGGCGAUUCUCGCCCAAAUCACUGCUAAUUCUGUGAUGAUUGUGUGCCUUUUGUGCCUGCUAUUUCCUGUAGGGGUUGGCUCGGAAGCGCUUCCCCCGUUACGAGCCCGAAUGACAUAUAACAUAUGGGAAAGAUUGGCUUCAAUAGCAAAUGUUACCCACUUUUGUCUAUCUAAUUCUGUAACAGCCGGAGAUUUGUUAGGUACAUGCCUUAUUCCAGUAUGUCAUCACCCUGAGGAGAUGGAGAAUAAGACACUGUUCUCUGCUUAUGCGAAUCUUUCCUCCCAGUACUCUAGCAUGGCUAAUUGGGGCC